rnacentral:rRNA from 1 species
GACGAACGCUGGCGGCGUGCUUAACACAUGCAAGUCGAACGGAAAGGCCCUGCUUGCAGGGUGCUCGAGUGGCGAACGGGUGAGUAACACGUGGGUGAUCUGCCCCUUACUUUGGGAUAAGCCUGGGAAACUGGGUCUAAUACUGGAUAGGACCAUGCUGUAGGUGGUGUGGUGGAAAGAUUAGUUUCGGUAAGGGAUGAGCUCGCGGCCUAUCAGCUUGUUGGUGGGGUAAUGGCCUACCAAGGCGUCGACGGGUAGCCGGCCGGAGAGGGUGGACGGCCACAUUGGGACUGAGAUACGGCCCAGACUCCUACGGGAGGCAGCAGUGGGGAAUAUUGCACAAUGGGCGCAAGCCUGAUGCAGCGACGCCGCGUGGGGGCUGACGGCCUUCGGGUUGUAAACUCCUUUCAGCCAUGACGAAGCCCUUGUGGUGACGGUAGUGGUAGAAGAAGCACCGGCUAACUACGUG